GACGAACGCUGGCGGCGUGCUUAACACAUGCAAGUCGAACGGAAAGGCCCUGCUUGCAGGGUACUCGAGUGGCGAACGGGUGAGUAACACGUGGGUGAUCUGCCCUGCACUUCGGGAUAAGCCUGGGAAACUGGGUCUAAUACCGGAUAGGAGCCAUUUUUAGUGUGAUGGUUGGAAAGUUUUUUCGGUGUAGGAUGAGCUCGCGGCCUAUCAGCUUGUUGGUGGGGUAAUGGCCUACCAAGGCGGCGACGGGUAGCCGGCCUGAGAGGGUGGACGGCCACAUUGGGACUGAGAUACGGCCCAGACUCCUACGGGAGGCAGCAGUGGGGAAUAUUGCACAAUGGGCGCAAGCCUGAUGCAGCGACGCCGCGUGGGGGAUGACGGCCUUCGGGUUGUAAACUCCUUUCGCUAGGGACGAAGCUUUUUGUGACGGUACCUGAUAAGAAGCACCGGCUAACUACGUG
rnacentral:rRNA from 1 species